UUUUCUGCUCAAGAACCAAGACGUUCUUUCUGAAUCUUCUAUGUCCAAUGAAAUUAAAUGUGAGACAGAAAGCAGAAGGAAAUCAAGUGUUCAUCCCUAGAUAUUAAGUGUGGGAGAAAGAUGCUGUUCAACACUUAGGACUGAUCGGAAAAUUCACUUUGGAGAAGUUGAGCUUCUUUUAUGAGAGUGUGAGCUACACCCACUUCUCUGUCUGCUUUUGAAGAUUUGAUAUAUGAUCCAUUAGGAGAUUUACAUCUUGCUGAAGGAAUAAAACCUAAAGUUGCCAGAUCUCAGUGUGCUCACCAUCAGCAGGUACAAUAAUGCAGGUGCUCCUUUAAUACUGAAAAAUUGGGAGUAGUCGUGUCAAUGGCCGGCAGAGUGGGCCCGUGUGCAGAGAAACCUCCUCUUGGCUUCUGUGUCCCUUGCUGUGAGCUGGUCACACUCUUCAGUUCUGGAGAAAAUUCUUUUCUGGGCCAGACAAACCCAGUGCUCUAGGCUAAGCCCAGUCGAAGACCAAGUCAGCUCAUGGUCGUGAAAGUUCUUCAGUGCUGGCUGCCGAGGCACUCUUCUCUGGGACAGCCAGAACACAGGCUUGUUCUCUUCCACACUUCUCAUUUCAGAUCAGUGGCUCUUUCCAGCCUCCCACCCAGGGGCCACCACCAUUGCCCGUUGAUGAAUCUGACCCCACCAAUCUUAAAUGGUUCCACAGAAAAGGGGCCAAUAAAGCACCCUUCCGACAGAAAGGACCAAGACCCUGGAAUAAAAGAGAACAGACAUCUGUUUCACUUUCUCAAAUCCUUAUUCGGGCUAUCGUUGCCCCUUCAGAGGUUUCUGAAGUCCUAAGGCAUAGCAGGACUGUCUUCUGCAGACAGCCCUCUCACAGGGGAAGAGGAAGAAAGCCACCAUCUGGAAUGGAUUAGGAGCCCACUCCUCAGGUACGUUUGUAGACUAACAUUUUGUCCAUUUCGGUGGGCCUGUGGGCAGUGGGCUUCUUCAUAUAACAGGCGUUUUCCCCAAAGACUAUUUGCAAGAGGGACAUUUUUUUUUCUUCCUUCCUUAGUUGCCCUGCAGAAUGUAUGCUCAGGGGAGAAUUCUCCAGCUCACACUUGAUCAAGUGGCCCACCAGGCCACUUUGCCUCUCCGCUGGCCUCCAGCUUGGAAGAUAAUCAUGGCACCCAGCCAGGAGGUCUCAGGGCUCAGCCGUGGUUGGGUCUCUCCUGUAAUGCCACAGUAGAGGCCCAGGUCACCCUAUUAUCUACCUCAUGAUUUAACGUGGAUGGGGCAGUCUUUGGAAUGGUGGGCCAGAUAUCGUAAACAAAUGACGGUCGCCUUCUUGAAUGCUUGUGUGUGGUCACGAGGUAAGAUCCCUGUUGCCAUGUCUUUGCUGGGACCAGCUUGCCCCAGUGAAGUAAGCCUUGACGGAAACCCGAGAGCUUGUAGUGUUUGCCGUGGGAUUGACAAGACAGACCUGCUGCACUUGGUGGUCUGCUCAAUCAUUCUACAUGUUGCCAUUAGACGAAUCCUUCCAGGAUUGUUCAGAUGGAUGGAAGGCUGUGUUGAGAACAGCCAGUGUUGC
rnacentral:lncRNA from 1 species